rfam:Actinobacteria bacterium OK006 ctg38, whole genome shotgun sequence.
CCGACGGGCCGUGACUGGCGCGCUGGGAUGGGACCGACCAUCGGGGAGCGGCCCAUGAACUGUGUGCCGUGCGCCUGGGCCGACCCG